rnacentral:rRNA from 1 species
GGCCUUGCGCUCAUUGAGCGGCCGAUAUCAGAUUAGCUAGUUGGUGGGGUAAAAGCUCACCAAGGCGACGAUCUGUAGCGGGUCUGAGAGGAUGAUCCGCCACACUGGAACUGAGACACGGUCCAGACUCCUACGGGAGGCAGCAGUGGGGAAUUUUGGACAAUGGGGGCAACCCUGAUCCAGCCAUGCCGCGUGAGUGAAGAAGGCCUUCGGGUUGUAAAGCUCUUUCAGCCGGGAGGAAAACGCAUUGGUUAAUACCUGAUGUGGAUGACGGUACCGGAAUAAGAAGCACCGGCUAACUACGUGCCAGCAGCCGCGGUAAUACGUAGGGUGCGAGCGUUAAUCGGAAUUACUGGGCGUAAAGCGUGCGCAGGCGGUUUUGUAAGAUAGGCGUGAAAUCCCCGGGCUUAACCUGGGAACUGCGUUUACGACUGCAAGGCUAGAGUACGGCAGAGGGGGGUGGAAUUCCACGUGUAGCAGUGAAAUGCGUAGAGAUGUGGAGGAACACCAAUGGCGAAGGCAGCCCCCUGGGUCGAUACUGACGCUCAUGCACGAAAGCGUGGGUAGCAAACAGGAUUAGAUACCCUGGUAGUCCACGCCCUAAACGAUAUCAACUAGGUGUUGGGUGGGUAAAACCAUUUAGUACCGGAGCUAACGCGUGAAGUUGACCGCCUGGGGAGUACGGCCGCAAGGUUAAAACUCAAAGGAAUUGACGGGGACCCGCACAAGCGGUGGAUGAUGUGGAUUAAUUCGAUGCAAUCGAAAAACCUUACCUACCCUUGACAUGUCAGGAACUUGCCAGAGAUGGCUUGGUGCUCGAAAGAGAACCUGAACACAGGUGCUGCAUGGCUGUCGUCAGCUCGUGUCGUGAGAUGUUGGGUUAAGUCCCGCAACGAGCGCAACCCUUGUCGUUAAUUGCCAUCAUUUAGUUGGGCACUUUAACGAGACUGCCGGUGACAAACCGGAGGAAGGUGGGGAUGACGUCAAGUCCUCAUGGCCCUUAUGGGUAGGGCUUCACACGUCAUACAAUGGUCGGUACAAAGGGUCGCCAACCCGCGAGGGGGAGCCAAUCCCAGAAAGCCGAUCGUAGUCCGGAUUGCAGGCUGCAACUCGCCUGCAUGAAGUCGGAAUCGCUAGUAAUCGUGGAUCAGCAUGUCACGGUGAAUACGUUCCCGGGUCUUGUACACACCGCCCGUCACACCAUGGGAGCGGGUUCCGCCAGAAGUAGGUAGCCUAACCGCAAGGAGGGCGCUUACCACGGCGGGGUUCGUGACUGGGGUGAAGUCGGAACAAGGUA